AUGACGAAGGAGCCUGUGGAUGCCAAUUACCUUGAUGGAUACCUGGAACCCAGGCCAAAUAUAAUGCACGAGGCAGAAAUUGAUCAUGUAAGGAAGGAACGCAUCAUUGAAAAGUAUAAAAACUGUGGACUGUAUUUCAUCGGCCACAACAACUGUGAACACCUUGCUACCUACGUGCGUUAUGGAGUGAAGGUAGCAAUGCAGUUUGAAUUGUCUGGUGAAGGCAAGUGCUACAGCGAAAUCAAUAAAAAAGAUUUACUGCAGUACUUAAGGGACCAAAAAGUGGAAAGUACAUCCACUGCAGGCCCCAGCACUACCACCGAUUAAGACGUAUUUCAACCCUCUCAGGCUGUCUUGCUCACUUUUGCUCUUUAUUGAUGUUAUGUUAUAUGUUAUAUAUGCUGUGGUAAAAUGUGAUGUGGAAUGAUAUCAAAGUUAGAAGGAUAAUUAAAUUCAUUAACAUUUGGUUAUAUAACACGUUUGCUGUUUGGUAUGUAUCAUGUUUGCUGUAUUUAUGUCCUAUAUUUGGCCAUAUACAAAUAUAACUUGGUUGGUCAACGAUUAUAAUAUUGUUUCUGAUUUGAUGAAAAUUUAAAUUAAGCAACAAAUAACAAGAUUUAGCCACAGAGGAGAGAGGGUGUUAGUCAGGUUCCAGGACCUCAUUCACUGUUUGUUGGCAUGCUUUGCUUUUUUGUGACUUCAAUAAACCUUUAUGCAUCAGAUUCUGAAGGAUUUCAUUUUUCUGACUUAUUAUUAUUUAUUAUUAUUAUUAUAAACGUUUUUAGAAUCUGUCUGCAAGAUUUCAAGACCUCUUUCUGAUAUGAGGUUGGGACCUUUCCCUGACAUAAUUUGAAAUUAAAAAAAGUUGAGCAAGUGCUCUGGGUGUAAGAAACGGUUAUACUGCCUCAAGAAAUGAAAACAGAACAUUUCAGAAUUGCUUGUCCAUCAAAACGGUUUUGAUUCAGAUCAAAAACACGACACAAGAGGUCAGCCUUUCAGAAUGAAUUGGUGGUAAAAACAGGACGGUAACUUGUUGUCCACAUCAGGAUCUAAUGUGCAGCUACUGUAAGUGUUCAUUAAGUAUAUCACAGAGAAUCACUGUACCGAAUAACAAGGUGGCAACCAGUGUUUCAUGGGUUCCAUGUAUAUGUAUGAUAAGCUUAUGAAAUACAAUGCAGAUUAAACCACUAGAUAUUAACCUUUUUGGGGUGUGACUGCUUACAAAAAAGUAGUGUCAAAUCUUGUCACAUAUCUUAAAUGAGUUGACCCUUGCCUCCAAUGUAUACCGUAAUAUAUAAAAGUAUAAACU
rnacentral:lncRNA from 15 species